UACGUAGGCAGCAAGCGUUGUUCGGAAUUACUGGGCGUAAAGGGCGCGUAGGCGGUUCGUUAAGUUAGAUGUGAAAACUCUGGGCUCAACCCAGAGCCUGCAUCUAAUACUGACGGGCUAGAGUUCUGGAGGGGGUAGCGGAAUUCCUGGUGUAGCGGUGAAAUGCGUAGAUAUCAGGAGGAACACCGGGGGCGAAGGCGGCUACCUGGACAGAAACUGACGCUGAGGCGCAAAGCUAGGGGAGCAAACAGG
rnacentral:rRNA from 1 species